rnacentral:ncRNA from 1 species
GUCAUUGUGAUAGUAAUUCUGCUCAGUAGAGAGGAAUCGCAGGUUCGGACAUUUGGUUCACGCACUCGGUCGAACGGCCGAUGGUGCGAAGCUACCAUCCAUGGGAUUAUGCUUGAACGCCUCUAAGGCCGUAUCCUCUCUAGUCGAAGGUGGCAAUGAU